GUCCCUGUAGCACGAUGUAUAGUGCGUUGGACUUUUAAUCCCAAAGUCGUGGUUUCGAAUCCCACCUGGAACA